rnacentral:rRNA from 1 species
UACGGGGGGGGGCGAGCGUUGUUCGGAAUUACUGGGCGUAAAGGGUUUGUAGGUGGUCUGCUAAGUCAGACGUGAAAUCCCUCAGCUUAACUGGGGAACUGCGUCUGAUACUGGCGGACUUGAGGACAGGAGAGGAACGCGGAAUUCCAGGUGUAGCGGUGAAAUGCGUAGAUAUCUGGAGGAACACCGGUGGCGAAGGCGGCGUUCUGGACUGUUUCUGACACUGAAAAAACGAAAGCCAGGGGAGCAAAACGGGG